CUAUGGCUGGUUUAAUACUUGUAUUAGAUUAUCCCAGGCACUAGGGUGAUACCACAUUGUCUGUGCUCCAAGGAGUUCAAAGGUUUAGGAUUAUAAAAUCCAGAAGGAAGACAAAGAAAAAAGGUUGGUGAGUAGGAAAAUGAAGUAACAUUUAAAAUCUUUUUUUUYUCUCUCUCUCUCUUGCUUAACAGGCUGCAUCCUUUGUUUAUAAGCUGAAUCCCUGCUGUGAAAAACAGAGCAAGGAAAAAUACAGGAUCUCAUUUUUCUGGAGCUCUCAGAUACCUGAAAUCAUGUUUGAAAACCUGUGAGAAAAAAGAAGUAUCAACAAAAAUGGCAUUACCUACCUUGUGUGACCCAUGUGGGCCAACUGCAAGAGGGCUGCACAGCCCGUUAGCCUGACAGAUUUGAUCACAGC
rnacentral:lncRNA from 1 species